UACGUAGGUGGCAAGCGUUGUCCGGAUUUACUGGGUGUAAAGGGCGUGUAGCCGGGCUGACAAGUCAGGUGUGAAAUCCGGGGGCUCAACCCCCGAACUGCAUUUGAAACUGUUGGUCUUGAGUAUCGGAGAGGCAGGCGGAAUUCCUAGUGUAGCGGUGAAAUGCGUAGAUAUUAGGAGGAACACCAGUGGCGAAGGCGGCCUGCUGGAUGACAACUGACGGUGAGGCGCGAAAGCGUGGGGAGCAAACAGG
rnacentral:rRNA from 1 species